rnacentral:rRNA from 1 species
AACCUUUACACUGCACGACAGUGCGAUAGGGGGACUCCGAGUGCGAGGGCAUAGAGCCCUCGCUUUUGUACACCGUAAGGUGGUGUACGAAUAAGAACUGGGCAAGACCGGUGCCAGCCGCCGCGGUAAUACCGGCAGUUCGAGUGAUGGCCGAUUUUAUUGGGCCUAAAGCGUUCGUAGCUGGCCGAUCAAGUCUGUCGGGAAAUCUGCUCGCCUAACGAGCAGGCGUCCGGCGGAAACUGAUCGGCUUGGGACCGAAAGACUCGAGGGGUACGUCCGGGGUAGGAGUGAAAUCCUGUAAUCCUGGACGGACCACCAAUGGGGAAACCACCUCAGGAAGACGGACCCGACGGUGAGGGACGAAAGCUAGGGUCUCGAACCGGAUUAGAUACCCGGGUAGUCCCAGCUGUCAACGAUGCCCGCUAGGUAUGGCGCAGGCUACGAGCCUGUGCUAUGCCGUAGCGAAGGCGCUAAGCGGGCCGCCUGGGAAGUACGUUCGCAAGAAUGAAACUUAA